CCGUCUGGUUGGUUGACUGACUCUCAAAGGAUCUCGUAGCUGGACCGCACCCGAGCUGAAAUAGAGACGAAAGCACACUGAAUGAAGCUGGGGGAAUUUUUACCUCUGCCAAGGAAACAUGGGAAUGUAAGACCACACCACAGGUCCACAAACAUCAGGUCAAUGAGUCUCGUUGAAACUUGUCCUCUCUCGAGCCCCACCUACCUCCUCAACUUCCAUUGAAGCCCAGAGGUAAGUGUGUGUGCGUGCAAAAAGUUUCUCAGCCAAAUGUUUUUGAAUCAAAUCCCUUUACGCGGUCAGAUACAGGAAGUAAAAAUGUUGCAUUGCCACCACACACACCAAAUUAAAAUCAUCUUGUUUAGUUUUUCUGCAAUUACGUGAAGGAUUACUCAAAUUCCCUCUCAAGCUUCCACAUGAUGUGCAGGUAUGACUCACUUGUAAAUAUGAGCGAGAAGGCGGGGCCUGUGCUUCUGUGUUAAAAGAAGUAAAAGCAAGAGGUAUUCACAGGUCUCUGCUUUCAACCCCUUCCCUGUUUUGUUACAGAUUCCCUCACUGAAAGCGGAACUCGACGCUUAAUUUUAAUCUCACGCAGACGCCCUACAAGGGGGAAAAAACAAAUCUUUGUGGCGAGGAAACAAGUUCUUGAGACGACGAUGACGAGCGCCCCCCGACCGAGAGGCAUCGACUACAACCUCCCCACCUGCGGCGAGAUCCGAUGCAACGGACGGGGUUUUUGCGUGCUCCCCCCCGGCGGCGGCUUAGGCUUCGCGUGCGAGUGCCACCUGGGCUACCGGGGCGAAUCCUGCCAGCUUACAUUUAACGGAUCGCUUAGCCUCCCGCUGACCAUAGGCGUGGUCGCUGCCCUUCUCUGUUUGGUGAUCAUGGCGUUCAUCUUUGCUAAAUUGCGACAGAAGCAUAUUCAGAAACAGAAGGAGAGAAUCUUGCAGCAAAACCAGAUGAAACAAGUUAUUUGUGAAGUGAGUCCAUCACAAUGAAACCGAAGGCAAGUGAAAUUUCAUCAUCUGAAACCUCCCAGUUCAUUUUACUCAAGCGUUCAGAGAUGGACCAGCAUGGACCUUUUUUUCCUCCGCCUGACCCAAAUGCUGAAUUAAGCUAGACUGUGAUUGAUCUCACCAUUUCUGAUGUUUGGGAUGAAACAACACGAAGCCUGCAGAAAGUAAUGCUGAAUCUAAUCAUACUUUUUAGUUUGAAAGUGUUUUCGCACAAAUAUCGGGGUGAAGUAUCGGAAAGAACCGAUACCAAGUUUCGAGCACCAACCCUACCGAUGUUCUGCGCUAACUACGAACCAGAAAGAAAUUAGCCUGUUAGUUUACACGAUAGCAAACAGUUUGUUUGUGUGCAACGCAGUUUGAGGAACAAACAAUGAGUAUGUCGUUGUGGUGCACUGUUGACUUUUGUUUGGUCGCAUUUGUCAACCAACAAGUCAUGCAGACACGACACUCGCCCCAGGGAAUGUUUGCUUCCACCCACUAAUUUACAUUUCUGCUUUUCACAGAAGGGAAGACGCUCCAUGACAAUUGUUGAGAGGAAAUAUUUAUGAACUAGCAACACUGUGAUAGUUUAAGGCAUUUGUCGAGUCCCACUAUUUCUAUAUGCACUUUUAUUUUCCCCCACUCGAGGCACAUUUGAGUCCUUUUUUCACAUUUUGUCUUCAUUUGCAUAAGUAAUCUGAUUACCUACUUGCCCUCCAGACAGGAUUAAGAAAAUAUGUAAUUAGUGGUCUAAUGACUCAUGCAAAGUGCACACGUUCAGUUCAAAUGUGGAGUGGCGCAGACUCUUUCAACUAUUCAAUGUAGUCUUGUAAGUGCCUCUUUUGGUUUUUUUUUGUUUUACUUUCAGUGCCUAAAAAAUGUUCAUGUAUAGCCAAAUGAGGUAAACUAUUUCAAACCGAACGAGAUUCCUCUUGUAAACAAAAGUAUUCCGUUACCUAUGAGUUAAGUUGGAUAAAUUAAUUUUGCACUUUUGAAGUUUUGAGUUCAAGAAAUAAACCUUAAACCCAAUUCA